UUGUGGGUUCGACUUGUUUUGCAGAGGACGGACUGCAUAGAUUUCAGCUCUGCACAGUCGGCCUUCAAGCGGAGAGUGACGUAUAGUUAUCCCUUCUGUGUUUUGAAGAUAUUAUAUCCAGUUUGCCAAGAUGAGUGAUAGCGACCUUAAAGCCAAGUUUCUGGAAUAUUGUACAUUUGGUGGACAAAAAGAUAAGACCACAAUCACCACCAAAAACUUGAACAAAAUGUUUAAAGAUUGCAACAUCAUCAACAAGAAGUUUAACAGUAACGCCUUAGACAUUGCAUUCUCUAAAAUACUAUCUAAAGGUCCUAAGGGGGCAAAAGAACUAAAUUUUCAGCAGUUUAAGGAUUUGCUGGCACUUCAAGAAAUAAAAGAUGCACACAAAGAUAAGGACAUUGCAAGCAUUAUUACUGGUGGUGGUGGACCAAGCCUGGCUGGCACAACUGUAAGUUUAAUUAUUGC